rnacentral:rRNA from 1 species
AGGAAACUUACAACAAAGAGUCCCUCCCGACUGUUUACCAAAAACACAGCACUCUGCUAACUCGUAAGAGGAUGUAUAGGGUGUGACGCCUGCCCGGUGCUCGAAGGUUAAUUGAUGGGGUUAGCAUUAGCGAAGCUCUUGAUCGAAGCCCGAGUAAACGGCGGCCGUAACUAUAACGGUCCUAAGGUAGCGAAAUUCCUUGUCGGUUAAAUACCGACCUGCAUGAAUGGCGUAACGAGAUGGGAGCUGUCUCAAAGAGGGAUCCAGUGAAAUUGUAGUGGAGGUGAAAAUUCCUCCUACCCGCGGCAAGACGGAAAGACCCCGUGGACCUUUACUACAGCUUGACACUGCUAUUUGGAUAAGAAUGUGCAGGAUAGGUGGGAGGCUUUGAGUAUAUGACGCCAGUUGUAUAUGAGCCAUUGUUGAGAUACCACUCUUUCUUAUUUGGGUAGCUAACCAGCUUGAGUUAUCCUCAAGUGGGACAAUGUCUGGUGGGUAGUUUGACUGGGGCGGUCGCCUCCCAAAUAAUAACGGAGGCUUACAAAGGUUGGCUCAGAACGGUUGGAAAUCGUUCGUAGAGUAUAAAGGUAUAAGCCAGCUUAACUGCAAGACAUACAAGUCAAGCAGAGACGAAAGUCGGU